rnacentral:rRNA from 1 species
UACGUAGGGUGCGGGCGUUAAUCGGAAUUACUGGGCGUAAAGCGUGCGCAGGCGGCUUUUCAAGUCAGGUGUGAAAUCCCCGGGCUUAACCUGGGAAUGGCGCUUGAAACUGGAAGGCUUGGGUGUGGCAGAGGGGGGUGGAAUUCCACGUGUAGCAGUGAAAUGCGUAGAGAUGUGGAGGAACACCGAUGGCGAAGGCAGCCCCCUGGGCUGACACUGACGCUCAGGCACGAAAGCGUGGGGAGCAAACAGG